rnacentral:rRNA from 1 species
CAGCAGCCGCGGUAAAACGGAGGGGGCUAGCGUUGCUCGGAAUGACUGGGCGUAAAGGGCGCGUAGGCGGCGGCCAAAGUCAGGCGUGAAAUUCCCGGGCUCAACCUGGGGGCUGCGUUUGAUACUUGGUUGCUUGAGUGGGGAAGAGGGUCGUGGAAUUCCCAGUGUAGAGGUGAAAUUCGUAGAUAUUGGGAAGAACACCGGUGGCGAAGGCGGCGACCUGGUCCUUUACUGACGCUGAGGCGCGAAAGCGUGGGGAGCAAACAGGAUUAGAUACCCCAGUAGUCCCUGUCUCUUAUAC